rnacentral:rRNA from 1 species
AUACGGAGGGGGCUAGCGUUGUUCGGAUUUACUGGGCGUAAAGCGCGCGUAGGCGGUAUAUCAAGUUAGGCGUGAAAGGCCUGGGCUCAACCCGGGAACUGCGCUUAAUACUGGUAGACUUGAGUCCGGGAGAGGGUGGCGGAAUUCCCAGUGUAGAGGUGAAAUUCGUAGAUAUUGGGAAGAACACCAGUGGCGAAGGCGGCCACCUGGCCCGGUACUGACGCUGAGGUGCGAAAGCGUGGGGAGCAAACAGGAUUAGAAACCCCGGUAGUCC